AAGAGGGACUUUGCCUAACAAUUGCAAUCAGUGUAACCUGGCUUAUGUUACCCUCAAUGAAUCCCCAACAAUGAAAGAAAAAAAAGAAAAUGUGGAUACGAUUUACCAGAUGGAACUGGCUGAAGUGCAGAAUUGUGACUCUGCAAGACGCAUUCAAGUCAAGCAGCCUUCCUAAUUUCUAUGCAUCUCUCCCCUCUGAGACACAUCCUAAUGUCAGGAACCAUACACUCAAAAUGGCAACCAUCUUUGGCAGCACUUAUGUCUGUGAAAAGACUUUUUCCAGAAUGACAUCUGAAAUCUCCAACCAGAUCUAGACUAACUGAUACACACUUGCAUCAGUUGUUACAACUAGCAGUGACAAAUAUGGAACUGGACAUUGACCAUUUCAUUAGCCAAAAGCAGCCCCAUAGUUCCCAUUGAAAUACUGAACUCUGAGUUACUUUAGGCCAUUAAUGCCGUCUUCUGUAAAAGUGCAGAGAGAGUCAAGAAGAAUGAGGUUCCACAUGAAGACCAAAGUGUGAGUUUUUAAUUUCAUGGCCUCCAGUGCUCUCCCCUGCCUUCAAUUUCUGCUAUGGAAAUGGGCAUAUGGGGCCUGUGACCUCUUUCUGGAAAAAUAAUAAAUCCGUGGGUCCAGACAGGCCCACUCAUCCACAGAGAAUUCUAUGGAUACAUUCUAUAAUGUCAACAGUCUCUGAAAAAUAAAUAUUUUUCAGGAAGCCAAAGGAGAUUGAAUCUUACUUUGAGUUAAAUGAGUGAAGAGAACUGUUGCUGACUUAUAUGAGUGACUGGAAUUACCUACUAAGUAUAGAAGAGCUAUAUUCCCUCAUGUGUUUCUUAUUUCUUCACCUCCAGUCCCCUCCCCUGCCAGCAAUUUCUGCUAUCGAAAUGAAGAUAUGGACCCUGUGACCUCCUUCUGGGUGAAAACAAACAAACAAACAAAAAACAACUCUUAAAUGUAUCUGGAAACCCUCAUGCUUUACAUUGUGCCUUCAUGUCACAUGGGGGCACUUAAUUAAAACCACAUGGAUCACACAAUCCAGAUUAAUAGAAGCUGUAGCAGGCAGAAUCACAGAUGAUGGUGCUUCUUCAAACUGGUCAUGGAAUCCUAACUGGAAGCCUGGGCUGAGAAACACUUAGCUAAGCAUCGCCUCUCAGGCUUUAGUAUGCUACAAGGUAUUUCUCAGUAUGCCCCCUCUAAGCAUAUGAUUCUGCAAGAGCAGCAGUUACUCUAUCUUGAAGCAAAUCAGUUUUUUUAUAAUGCCUAUUUAUGUCCUUGUUUAAGAAUUUCAGAAAGAUGGUUGACCUCAUGGUUCAAGCCUGUAGUCCCAGCACUCAAAGAGGCCCAGAUAAAUGGAUUGCCUAAGCUAAUGAGUUCCUGAUCCACAGCAAGAGUGAGACCUCAUCUCUAAAAAUAGGAGGGCAUUGUAGAGAGCAUCUGUAGGCCACAUACUUGGGAGGCUGAGGCAAGAGUAUGGCUUAACCCUAGAGUUUAAGGUUUCUGUGAGCUGUGAUGCUACAGCACUUCAUUGAGUUGACAAAGUGAGACUCUGUCUCAUAAAAAAAAAAAGAAGAAGAAGAAUUUCAGAAAGUGUUUUGAGCUAUUAAUUGUAGAACCAAGAUUAAAGAACUCCCCAUGAAGAAAAAUAGUGAGCGGUUAACCCCCAUUUCUGUUCUGGUCUAGCUGAUGGCAAAUGGCAAGACAUGGACAGCCAAAUGGCAAGAGACAUGGAGACCUACACAUAGAAAACGUCCACGCUGUUUUCCAAGCUCCUUUCCCCUUUCACCACCUCUGGUCAGCCCAGGAACAUGAGGUGCUCUUUGCAACAUUAGUCAGCCAUCUCCUCAUGUUGCUCUUGAAUAAAUUGC